GCAAAACACUGUAAGUUACUAGUUCCUGUAUCUGCAAGAUUAAUGCUGUGAAGCGUAUGCUGACUAAAGCAAUCUCAAGAAUAGCCUUUACUUUACAAGGAAUAGCACAAAAUAGCCAGGAAAAUACACACAGUGUAUCAGCAGCUACACCAAUCAACGCUAUACUGGAAGCUGGAGUUGGGGAGAUGAACUAGAUGACUUCUAAAGGUCCCUUCCAACUCAGAACAAUUCUGUGAGUUCUUGAUGACGGUCUGAAAGCUGAAGUAUGUGAAAAUAAGCAUUUUAAAUAAUUAUAUUUUCAAUACCAGCUCUGUAUGUAAAUAUAUAUGCACACGCUCUCUAGUAAGUCUCAGUUAACACCAACAACCAGGUAGCUUAAUGUUGUGUCAUCAGCGGUCAGUAGGACUAGUCAGAGGCUGAGAUUUAGGAUUAAACCCAGAAAACAACAGGUGUAAGUUUAGCAAUUUGACCCGGGAGUGGGAAAACUGAAUUCAAGCCACACCUCUGCCUAACGGGUACAGAAUCUAAGGUAAAUAGAUAAGUCUCUCUUCAGUCUAUCGUCUCUGUAGAACUGACGUGGUAUUUCUCUGUGAAUAGGGGAGUCUUCAAGUGAGAAGUAUACACUGCAAGGUCUAGGAACUCUUCAUGCAGCAGUCCCACUGUUAUACUUACAGGUAGAGUGCACUGGCUCCAAUGAUGGAAGCCAGGAAUGCUGAAACCACACCAGACCCAGACCCUAUCUCAAGGCAGAUGUCGAUCCUAAAGACAGAAAACUUUGGGACAAAAGAGUGAUCCAGAUGGAAAGGGCCUCGGGAGGUCUCUAGCUCCGUCUCUUGCCCCAAGCAAGCCCAGCUCUGGCAUCAGACCAAGCUACUCGGUGUGUUCGCCAGGCAGUUCUGAAGCCCUGUGAAGAUGGAGCCUGGACAGCCUCACUGGCAACCCACUCCGCUGCCUGACUCUCCUCAUGAAAAGAGAGAAAUAAAAGUGGAGACUUCAAACUGUAAAGACUGAGAAACUGAAAAGGCGCUUAUGGGACAAAUGUUCUAGCAAGAGGAAACAUUUUAAAACACAAGAGAAUGAACUGGCUAUUCUUAUAGUGAGGGUGAUGUGAUGGGGCCUGGUGUGAGUACACCACCUGUAGGCUCCAUUGUUUGCUAGACCCACCGGUGAGCUGCUGCUGGCAUGAGGAAGCAAGUUGGGUUGGACUUAUAACACAACCACGGAGACAAGAGUUAUUAUUGAAAUUCCACCUGUCCCCGUUGGCUUCCUAUGCACUCCUACUGCAUAUCUCUUACAUACAGAAGGCAAAAAUCAGAAGAAAACACACAAAAAAUUAUUAUGGCUUUUAAUUUACUUUGACAAAAGAGCCUUUUUAGAAUGGAGAAAGCUUUACCUAUCCUUUUAUUGUUGUAAAUUAACUGAAUUUUCAUCAGACUUAGGAAUAAAGGAAAAGACAGAUACCUGGAAAUGAUACUGAGAAUCUUCUCUCAUAGAAGUAAAAACUAUGAAAAGUUCCGAUGCAGAACAUGUGGGUCAUUGCCACUGACAAAUACAACAUCAGUUAUAAUUAUAAAGUAAUCCACAAUGAUUUUACAUUAAAACUACCCUGCAAAACUUAGUAUUUCCUAAACAAGAUGGAGCUGCUAGAAUGUCCAUUGCUAUGGGUGGGCAUUGCAAUUUACUGGGCAUGGUGGUGAAGGGCUGAUGGUUGGAUGGGAUGACCUUAGGGAUCUUUUCCAACCUUAAUGAUUCUAUGAUUCUAUAAUUCUAUCAAAUAGGAAGCAACAUUUUUUUCCAAGUUUUAUAUUUUAAUGAAAUAUUGACAGCUGUGCUGUCAAUGGACUGAAUAGUGCCUUGCUAAAAACCACAUAAUUAAUUAAAUACACAAAAGGAUUGAUAAUAGCUUAUUGAAACCAUUGCUCCUUCACACCUGAGUCCAUUCUUCUUUGCAUUAACAGGAAGAAAAGAAGGGCCUGGUAUCAGGCAAGAUCCACCUAAUUUUCUGUCCAAGGACCCUCAGUCUGAAGUCUGUUCUCCAUCUUUUUACCUGUACUGUUGUCUCCUACAGGCAGUUUGCAGAAGGAUCCAUGUAGUCUAUACCUAUACCCCCUCUUUGGUAGUGGUGUAUUACAAUGCUGAUUCUCCAUACAAUUUUCUCUUUGAACACUGCCUGUAAAUGAAGCACCAGCUCUGUUCUCAGUUUGGCAUGGCAACAAAACUGCGUGUCUGGGAUCACAAGAGAAUGCUGCAAUGCUAGGAAAGCUGUGGCCCCAUUGCCACAGCAAAGGGGAGGCCACUGGCAUGGUGGGUAGACGUGAGAAAGACCUAAAGGAGUUUAAUGUGCCUUGGGAGUAAAGUCAGCAGCCCAAAGGGAACCCGCCCUGCUCUCUGAGGAGUUGGGAGCAGCCACUUUGUUUAAUACGGAUGUUUUCUUCCCUAUCCACCGCUGUCCUGUUUAUUGCCAUCCACGCAAAGCCACUUGGAGAUGAACCAACGGAAGCGGCAGCGUUUUUGGGGUCCAGUCCUGCUUCGUGGUUUUGAGGGAGGAUGAGUGAGUCUGUUUGGACUGAUGUUCUAAAUGUGAAGCUUUAUUUACAGCCUACCACAGUUGUCCUCAUUAGCAUUGGUAUGCGCUACAGACUGGAAAGAUGUGCCAACAAGUUUCCAUACAAGAUUUUUCACUAAGAAGAAGAAAAAAGGAAAUUUAAAAUGGCAUGAUCACGUCUAGUCAGUAGUUUCUUAACUACAGCAAGGAUUCCUACAUGACAGGGCACAGAAUUACGGAUUUAACAGAUACUGCCCCAGAUGAACUGUCACAUUCCUCUGCAUGAUGUACAGACAUUAUUACUGCAAUAACUUUGAUCUUUAAGAAGGCAGAGCAACUCACACAUCCUCAAACAGCAGCACCAGACCCCCUUGUAUCUUUUGCUUGGCAGAAUGUUCAAAUAGAGAAGAUAGAACAGAUAAAGUAAUAAAUGCACCUGAAGAAUCAUUCCUGUCUCCCUAAAGGCAGCUCUGCUUAUUGUAGGUAGAUCCAUUGCCCUGACAUCUUAUCGUGCUUGAACUUAUGUUCGUGCUCAAUUUAACGUGAGUUUAUGCAAAUGAUGCACUUCUGUAUGAACAGUGUCUUGGCCUCUGCUGCUUUUGACUGAGGAUUGGCAGGGACUGGCAGUGCAUCCCCAGGCUCACUGUACAGUUUCCAUUUGUCCAUUCCCAUCUGUAUUCUCUGCAAGAUUCACUCCUUAAAUGGAUCGCACAUUCCACCAACCAUCCCUCUCCCCACAACAGAUACCCGUCAGAGGACAGAUCAUCAUGAAUGGAAAAGAGCCAGUGUGGUCUUAUUUCUUAGAUGGAUUUUUGGCAAAUGAGCAGACAGUUUGGAUCAUGCAUGAAGUUAUGAAUUGCAACUGCCAAGUCACAAGGCAUUUUCCUUCUCCUGAUCAGCUCCUCUCGGCCUGCUCUGAUACAGAGGUUUCAGCACAGCUGCCUCAUGAUGUCUGUGAUUUUUCACCACCCAAGGAUCAGAUUGACCAGUGUAGUUCUGGUGCUUCCCCUCCUGAAGCCUGCCCUAGGAGCAGUGAGAGGGGGAGUGGGACUACCAGGCAGAGAGGCUAGAGGAGGAUUCAGUAGCCUUUGUGAACCAAGCACAGUGCUUUGUAUGAAAAGAUGUAAUGAAUAUCACUGGUCAGAGGCAGCCAGAGCCAGGAGUGAUGCAGCGAUUGUAUACGCUCCGCUCACAUUUAUAUCAUAGUUGCAUAGUUGCAUCCCUUCUGACCUCGUAUUCAUCUUCCUUUUGAAAACAACCCUCCAGUCAUGCACCACUGAGCACUGCUUUUGCCAUGUGCAGGAUGACCUCUGAGGACAUCAUUAAGAUAUCUCAAAAACUGGGCUUCAGACCUUUCCAUCUGGAAGUGCUGGAUAUCUGCUUGAAAGCUCUCUGACAUCUUGCAGAAAUCCAGGCUCCCUGUGCCCCCGCUCUCCUUUCAAACCUUGCUUUAUAUUGAACAGAGCAGGAGGAAGUUUAUUUUGUGUUGAACAUGAGUUUAGUUCAGGACUUUGUAAUUAGUUAGCUUGUUUCACAGAAUGCUGCAUGUGGCAUGCAGCAAAUGAUUGCAAAAUGAAUAAUAAAUUAACUGUAAAAAAUGUGAAGCUUUUGCUCAUGACAGAUUUCCAAACAAAAGUGUUGGAAGUAAGAUGUUAUUUUGAUUCCUAACACCUGCAAGUGCAAGCAGAUUUAUUUCCCCACCACACACAGAUGCUACAGAGACAUUUUGCUCACAUUGCAGACCAGCUCACCUGGAGUGUAACUUCUGAUUAAGCCUUCAGGUACCAGUGCAAUAGCAACAAUUAAGAUGCGUAGUUGUGCCUACAAUAGUUACACUGUGCUUCUUCAGCAGAUUUUAAAUUUUCAUAUAUGCAUUUAUAGUUCAGUUUAUCAUGGCAGUACAAGAAACAUUGUUCCUGAUUCUCUUGAAAUCCUGUCAGAGUGUAUGUGUAUCCUUUGCAUCCAUUCAUAUAGGAAUGAGUUUCUGACAGUCUGUUCAGAAGUAUGGAAACUAUUUCUAAUCUGAAUGGUAGCAUUUGUGUAAGUGUGCAAUGGGAUACUCUUCCUUAUUUUCCUAUCCCUUUUCAUCCAAACAAUUGGCUCCAUCAGCUUGUGGAAAACAUUGUUUAAUUACCGCAUAUAACAUCUGAAUCUAGGACUCCCAUGAUAUUGGACAGACAAUGAAUUAGUGGAUUUGUCUCCCUACAAGGAUACAGUAGACAUUUUUGUCUGUAAUAUAUUAAAAUAUGCUUUACAUUUUAAUAUCUUUUUGUUCUCCUCUUGCAUUCAAACUAUUCCCUGAAAUUAGGAAAAAAAACACUAUAAAUUCACUUUGAUUGAUGGAACCUUAAAUAAUUUUCUUCAGUGGGACUUAGCCUGUUGGUCAACACAUGUUAAACACUUGCUCUAUAGAAGCAUUAUUAAGCUCAUUAAAUUCAGAUGAAAAAAAACCUCACGAUAAUUUAAAAGAAGUUAAAGCAAUAAUCUAAGUUUAAAACAAAGUGAGUCCUUCUCUUUGUCUUAAAUAUACAUUGUUAAAACAAAAUGAAUAGCUUGUAAAUGUACUUUUUGGUAUAUUCUACUUUAGUUUUUUAGGGCUUGUAAUUAUAUUUGAAAACCUAAAAUGCUCACAUGCACUUAACUAAAUAUGAUAAAGCCUUCAGAAUCAUUCUGUGAUGAAUGUGCAGGCAUCAGGAGAGUCAGAAAAGAUGCUCUCCUAUGGAGAUGGCUUUGCUGUUGAAAUCUCCACCUGGAAAGCAGAUCUGAGGAUGAUUCCCUUCUUCCUCUACUGAUGGCUGUCUGAAGGGUACUUCUGGGCCGUGGUGGGCUCUGGUCAACUUUCAGGAGUUUGUCUCUGGAACAGUGGGACCUGAUACGGACUGCAGACCAUUGCCUAGAGAGUGUCCUGUGAGCUGACAGCUCUCCAGGCUGCAUACUUCCAGGAGGCAGCUAACUGUGUGCAUCUCCACAGAGUUCUUACUUUUGAUAUAGAGUAUGAAAUGCAUGCCUGCCCUUUGAGAUUUAGUUUGGAUAUAAGAAAAAAGGUUUUUUACGAUAAGGGUGAUGAAACCCUGGAACAGUCUGGCCCCAUACUUGAGUCAUUAACAUACAUUUUUCUUGUAAAUUUUGUGAGAGAAACAAAAUUGUCAUCCACCGUCUUUGAUAUCACAGUAAAUAGAUUUUUUUGCUGUGAAAACAGUUACGUUUGAUAGUUCCUUAAGUUUAACACUUCUUCCUAGGUCUCAAAGUAGUGCAUUUUGAAUAGCAGUUGUAGAUCCUGAGAGCUGUCCGCCAUUUAUAUGAAAGAGUUCAAUAGUAUUAUUCUGGUUCUUGGGGGCACAUGUUUACAUCAAUAUCUUCUGCCUUCUAGUUCUCCCUUGCAAAAUAGAGGUAGCACUGUGUUACUUUGCUUGCUUCAGAGAAGACUGGCAAAUGUUUUCUUUCUUUUUUGUACUAACUGCCAUAUUGCCAGGAUUUGUGCUCUCUGUUUUAAAUACUGUAUUUAGUUAAACUUGAGACUUUCCUCUCUACGUUCAGGCAGUUUUAUUUUUUUUUCAAACCCUCAGUUUAUUUUCUCAUCUUAAAUUCUGUUUAAAAAUGCCAUUCAGGUUUGUUAACAGUUGAUUGCUUAUGUUGGAAAACAAGCUUCAAGAAGAUAUCCAAAGCAAAUGUUUUUGUGCAAUUCUUUAGAUUGUGGAUACAAAGUGAGUGACUUGUAUCCUUUAAUUAAUAUACAAAAAUCACUAUUUAUUGAAUUACAAAUUUAAUUGGCAGUAUGUUAAGAAUUCCAGAAAUAACUGAAGAUUUAAGUUCCUACACAAAUAUGUUACUGAGUUGUUCUGCCUCAAAUCAUCAGGAAGAAUGCUUUUGUUUAUACAGCCUGUACAGUGAUUAAUCCGCAUAUUUCCAAAUAAAGCUGAUCUGGGUCUCUGCUAAGAGAAAAGGUUCUCUUAAGACUUUGUCAAAGGCUGAACCUCAUCCAUCCAUCUCAGCACAUAGGCACAGAAGGUGAAUUACAGUCUCUCAAAGCAAGAGAGGAAAAACAGCCAGUGCUGUUCAUUUCACUGGACUGUGAACUCAUCUCCAUGAAUAGAUACCAGGGUGGCAUUAUAAAAAGCACCGGCCUUGCACUAAGAGGGUUUCACACCAUAUUAGAGAGAGUGUCCCUCAGCAUACAGUUCAGCCAGCCAGACUGAAAAGACAGAAAUGAGCCUCAUCUGAGUUGCACUGAACAUGAAGUUCUUUGGUUUGUUUUCCAGCCUAAAAGAACUCUGAAAGAGUUUUUAUUGCGAUAUUCAACAAAAUUGGAGCGGUGCAUUCCUGUCUGGAAUGUCUCUGGUGGGAACUGAGGAAACAAAGGAGCUGGCUCGCAGACCUUGCACAGCCAGGCUCAAUGGCAGUGCUAUCCACGCAUCCAAUUAACCAGGGAGGUUUGAUCCCCCCCUCUGCCUGUAGGGUUUGAAUUUACACCCUCUGCAUGUUUGAGAAAUGCAUUCCCUGGUUAACAAAUCUCAGCUUAUCCUUUUAAGUCCUUAAUACCUCUCUAAUGCUGGCCUCAUCACCAUCUUCUCUGAUCUGCUGAUCUGCUCCUCCUGUGCUGCUUUGCUUGCUGAUGUCUGUGGUUGCACAUGCGUUGUUCUUUAGGCUGGCCUAUCCUUUCAUCUGGAUAUUUUUUCUCCUGAGUAUUUCUGCUCUGCUUCUGCAUGGUUUAAUCUUUACUUCUGUACACAUUCAUUUAAAAGAUCUUUGUUUUCUUGUUUCAGUUGUUUCUUCUGGUAAAUACUGUACUUGCAUUUGGGUUUUCCAGCUAUUCCUUGUAAUAUUUUUGAAAUCUGCUGGUUCAUCUCAGCUUUUGGACACUGGGUGCUCUCUUCUUCCUUUCUACCUGCACAUUACAGGGCAUUCACUCCCACGUUGUUCUAUAAGAGCUGUGUAUUUGGUGUGGUGUGGUGCAGCGGGGUAGCGUGUAACAGAAGAAAAAGUACAGUGGGGAUGUGGUGAGAUUUCCAAAGGCUUAUUGAACAUGCAUCAGCAAAUGUUUUACUUCUGGAACUUCCCAGUCCCAGUGCAAGGUUCAGUGCAAAGAGGUGUUGAUGGUUUCAGCUGAUCAAUAAGUGAAACAAGUCUGAAACCAGGUUAAAUCUAAGUGGUCUAGUAUUUAGCAGGGAUUCAUGCAGGGAUACAAGAAAACAGCCUAUAGCAAAAUUUCUAAUAGAAAAGGAAAUUCCAAAUGAACUAAAUAAGCUCCCUAAACCAUUUCCUGUUCUUUACCAAAGUCCUAAGACAGGCAUGUCCAACUCAUGGGCUUUAUGCAGCCCAGCACAACUCGCAAUGCAGACUGCCUCCUAACUAAACAUCGGUGUGUGAUUGGCACCACCUGGGCAGAAACUGGGAAGUGCUGACUCAAGUGAUGGCAAAUAAUUGUGUUCAUUUUGAUACACUGGCUAAACACAGUCGUGUGAACAGAGAAAAAUAUGCAGCUGUGCUGUUUUGAUACAGGAAUUUGAGAAUAAGAAUCAAGAUUGCAAAAAAAGUGAUCAAUUUGUGUUUGCAAGACCAUUUUCAGCUGACAUAAAAACGUUGCCUGUGAAUUUUCAAAUGGAAUGUAUAGAGUUGCAAUUGAAUAUUCAACUCAAAAAUUUGAUCCUGUCUGCUCACCGGGCUUUUAUAAGACUUCCCUUACCAGAGAGAAAGAUCCUUCCCUUCACAGUCAUGUUUUAUUCAUGGCACCGCUUUUUAGCAGAAGGCACAUUUGUGAGUAAUUGUCAAGGAUGAAGCACAAUAAGAGUAAAACUUCAUCAAAAAUCUGUGAUGAACACCUGGAGAACUCACUAAGAAUUACUGCCACUGCCAUCGAAACAGACUGGUGCACUGAUUUCACAAAAACAAGGUUUAUGUUUUUGUUGCUUUUUGAUUGUUUUAAUAAAAAUAUUAGAAAAUAAAAUGCUUUACUACUUCUAUAUUAACUACAGUAUAUAUUUUAAAAGGGCUGCUCCAAAAGUUAUGCCUUCUAUUUUAUGAUGUUGACCAAAUGACAUCAGAGGUGGAUGUUGGUGGUAUAGCAGUAGAACUUGAACCCUUCUGUCAAUAUUCUGUUGCAUUUUGUUGCCCUGUGACAA